CUGGAGAUUUAAUCGUUUGUAUCCCUCCAGUGGCGAGAGAACCAGUCUGCUACCAGAUUGUCCUGACCUGGUAGGUAUUCCGCCCGAAGUGUGAUGUUUCUGUAUAGACAAAAUUGGUAGAGUUCUUUAGUCAAAUCUGAAAGGAGUUUGGAGCAGGAGCCUCCCAAACGAUUUACAUAGUGGACAGCAGACACAUUGUCCAUCCAUAGAGUCAAGGAGCAAUUGUAGGCGUCCUUCGCAAAGCAGCAUACUGCGAAGGAGCUGGCAAUCCAUUUGAGGCAAUUUAUAUGGAGAGUUUGUUCCGAGCGUGUCC